GGUUUAAUUCGAAGCAACGCGCAGAACCUUACCAGCCCUUGACAUCCCGAUCAGGAUUAUCAGAGAUGAUGAUUGUCGGUUCGGCCGGAUCGGUGACAGGUGCUGCAUGGCUGUCGUCAGCUCGUGUCGUGAGAUGUUGGGUUAAGUCCCGCAACGAGCGCAACCCUCGCCCUUAGUUGCCAUCAUUAAGUUGGGCACUCUAAGGGGACUGCCGGUGAUAAGCCGAGAGGAAGGUGGGGAUGACGUCAAGUCCUCAUGGCCCUUACGGGCUGGGCUACACACGUGCUACAAUGGUGGUGACAGUGGGCAGCGAGACCGCGAGGUCGAGCUAAUCUCCAAAAGCCAUCUCAGUUCGGAUUGCACUCUGCAACUCGAGUGCAUGAAGUUGGAAUCGCUAGUAAUCGUGGAUCAGCAUGCCACGGUGAAUACGUUCCCGGGCCUUGUACACACCGCCCGU
rnacentral:rRNA from 2 species